rnacentral:rRNA from 1 species
GCAAGUCGAACGCAGUAGCAAUACUGAGUGGCAAACGGGUGAGUAUAAUGUGGGAAUCUGCCUUUUGGUUUGGAAUAACACGGGGAAACUUGUGCUAAUACCGAAUAAGCCCUUACGGGGAAAGUUUUAACGCCGAAAGAUGAGCCUGCACUUGAUUAGCUAGUUGGUAAGGUAAAGGCUUACCAAGACAACGAUCAAUAGCUGUUCUUAGAGGAAGACCAGCCACAUUGGGACUGAGACACGGCCCAGACUCCUACGGGAGGCAGCAGUGGGGAAUCUUGCACAAUGGGGGAAACCCUGAUGCAGCGAUGCCGCGUGAGUGAAGAAGGCCUUUGGGUUGUAAAACUCUUUCGUCGGGGAAGAAAAUGACUGUACCCGAACAAGAAGGUCCGGCUAACUUCGUGCCAGCAGCCGCGGUAAUACGAAGGGACCUAGCGUAGUUCGGAAUUACUGGGCUUAAAGAGCUCGUAGGUGGUUAAAAAAGUUGAUGGUGAAAUCCCAAGGCUCAACCUUGGAACUGCCAUCAAAACUUUUUAGCUAGAGUGUGAUAGAGGUAAGUGGAAUUUCUAGUGUAGAGGUGAAAUUCGUAGAUAUUAGAAAGAACACCAAAUGCGAAGGCAACUUACUGGGUCACUACUGACACUGAGGAGCGAAAGCAUGGGUAGCGAAGAGGAUUAGAUACCCUCGUAGUCCAUGCCGUANACGAUGUGUGCUAGACGUUGGAAAUAUAUUUUUCAGUGUCGCAGCGAAAGCAUUAAGCACACCGCCUGGGGAGUACGACCGCAAGGUUAAAACUCAAAUGAAUUGACGGGGACCCGCACAAGCA